UACGUAGGGGGCGAGCGUUGUCCGGAUUUAUUGGGCGUAAAGAGCGUGUAGGCGGCCAGGUAGGUCUGCUGUGAAAACUCGAGGCUCAACCUCGAGACGUCGGCGGAAACCAUCUGGCUAGAGUCCGGAAGAGGAGAGUGGAAUUCCUGGGUGUAGCGGUUGAAAUGCGCAGAUAUCAGGAAGAACACCCGUGGCGAAGGCGGCUCUCUGGGACGGUGACUGACGCUGAGACGCGAAAGCGUGGGGAGCGAACAGG
rnacentral:rRNA from 1 species